rnacentral:rRNA from 1 species
GGGAGUGGCAAGCGUUAUCCGGAAUUAUUGGGCGUAAAGCGUCCGCAGGCGGCCCUACAAGUCUGCUGUUAAAAAGUGGAGCUUAACUCCAUCAUGGCAGUGGAAACUGUUGGGCUUGAGUGUGGUAGGGGCAGAGGGAAUUCCCGGUGUAGCGGUGAAAUGCGUAGAUAUCGGGAAGAACACCAGUGGCGAAGGCGCUCUGCUGGGCCAUCACUGACGCUCAUGGACGAAAGCCAGGGGGAGCGAAAGGGAUUAGAUACCCCUGUAGUCCUGGCCGUAAACGAUGAACACUAGGUGUCGGGGGAAUCGACCCCCCUCCGGUGUCGUAGCCAACGCGUUAAGUGUUCCGCCUGGGGGAGUACGCACGCAAGUGUG